rnacentral:rRNA from 1 species
UACGUAGGGGGCAAGCGUUGUCCGGAUUUAUUGGGCGUAAAGAGCGUGUAGGCGGCCAUGUAGGUCCGGUGUGAAAACUCGAGGCUUAACCUCGAGAUGUCAUCGGAAACCAUCUGGCUAGAGUCCGGAAGAGGAGAGUGGAAUUCCUGGUGUAGCGGUGAAAUGCGCAGAUAUCUGGAGGAACACCGGUGGCGAAGGCGGCAUCCUGGACCGGUAUUGACGCUGAUGCGCGAAAGCCAGGGGAGCAAACGGG